CAAAUGGAUGUCUGUUUAUCAGUCAGAGACUGCGAAACGACUCCUUAUUUUGAACACCAGACUUUCUUCUUAUUCUCAAAACUCAAAACAGCUCGGAACCUGCGCUCUUUCUGUUUGCUCCAUUUCGCUCUUUCCUCGGUGGAUAAUCCCGCAUGUAGGUAACAGAGUCCCAAGAUUCCAGGUUCCGAGAGAUGAAAGGACUCACUUGUGGAGAUUCCUGGCCGGGGCUGCCGCCCAUCUGCCCAAAGCCGCCCUUGUCACCCGCUCAGGGGGCGGCUCCUUGGUAUCCUUCCAGGGCGGCGUGUACGAGUACAGGCACGUGGAUGCGACGCGUGGGCACAGGAGCCUCUUUUCUCUUUGUCUGUCAUAUUAACACACCUGGCAGCACUUUAGGCCCGUUGGCCUGCAACUUUUUGUUUGACUGAUUUUUAAUUAUUUACUUUAAAAAAAAAUGUAGUUAAAUAUACAUGACAUAUAUUCACCGUUUGAAUUUUUGUGUGUGUUUGUUUGUUUUUGAGAUGGAGUCUUGCUCCGUCUCCCAGGCUGGAGUGCACUGGUGCAAUCUCGGCUCACUACAACCUCCGCCUCCCAGGUUAAAGCAAUUCUACUACCUCAGCCUCCCAAGUAGCUGAGAUUACAGGCACACAGCACCACGCCUGGUUAAUUUUUGUAUUUUUGUAGAGAUGGGAUUUCACCAUGUUGGGCAGGCUGGUCUCGAACUCCUGACCUCAGGUGAUCUGCCCACCUCGGCUUCCCAAAGUCCUGGGAUUACAGGUGUGAGCCACCGCUCAGCUCAGUACAUUUACAGUGUUGUGUAAUUGUCUCCACCAUCCAUCUCCAGGACUUUAUUCAUCUUGCAAAACUAAAACUCUGUCCCCAUUAAACAGUAGCCCCCACAUCCCCUGCCUCCAGCCUCUGGCAACCCCUAUUGUACUGUCGGUGCCUACAAACCUCACUUCUCUGUGCAUCUCACAUACAUGGAACCACAGUGUCUGUCCUUUUGUGUCUGGCUUCUUCCUCUUAGCAUAACGUCCUCAAGGCUCAUCGGUGUUGGAGCAUGUGUCGAGAUUUUAUGGUGUGUGAACUAUGUCUCGGUUUAAAACA